rnacentral:rRNA from 1 species
GACGAACGCUGGCGGCGUGCCUAACACAUGCAAGUCGAACGAAGAGCGACGGAAGCUUGCUUCUAUCAAUCUUAGUGGCGAACGGGUGAGUAACGCGUAAUCAACCUGCCCUUCAGAGGGGGACAACAGUUGGAAACGACUGCUAAUACCGCAUACGAUCUAACCUCGGCAUCGAGGAUAGAUGAAAGGCGGCCUCUACAUGUAAGCUAUCACUGAAGGAGGGGAUUGCGUCUGAUUAGCUAGUUGGAGGGGUAACGGCCCACCAAGGCGAUGAUCAGUAGCCGGUCUGAGAGGAUGAACGGCCACAUUGGGACUGAGACACGGCCCAGACUCCUACGGGAGGCAGCAGUGGGGAAUCUUCCGCAAUGGACGAAAGUCUGACGGAGCAACGCCGCGUGAGUGAUGACGGCCUUCGGGUUGUAAAGCUCUGUUAAUCGGGACGAAAGGCCUUCUUGCGAAUAGUGAGAAGGAUUGACGGUACCGGAAGAGAAAGCCACGGCUAACUACGUG